UUAAAGACUGAAAAAAGUAAGGGGCCUGGACAGCUGCCCUGGGGAAUUCCUGACUCUAACUAGAUUAUGUUGGAGAGGCUUCUGUUAAAGAACACCCUCUGUGUUCUGUUAGACAAUUUAACUCUUUUUCCACAAUAUAGCAGGGGGUGUAAAGCCAUAACACAUCAGUUUUUCCAGCUGGACCUGGCUCCCCAGUGGGUAGGCCUAUGCCCACCCAUAGCUGCACCCCUGCCCAGUCAUGUAAAAUCCAUAGAUUAGGGCCUAAUCUAUUUAUUUAAUUUAUUAUUUAUUUAUUUCCUUAUAUGAACUGUUUCUCUGCAAAAUCUUUGAAAUUGUUUCAUGUUGCGUUCAUAUUUGUUCAGUAUAUAAGGGACACUUCAUGUUUUGUGUAUAAUAUUUACAGUGGGCGAGCUCCAUUCCUGACAGGCUGAUUUGGAUUCGAUUUCAGCCUAUUAUCCAAAUAUUAUCCAUAUAAGUAUCCCUUACAAUUAUACACAUCAGUUAUACAAGCUAACAACCAGCAUAGAUAACAAGCUAGAUAGCUAGCUAACAAGACUACCUAGUUAACUAGCUAGCUAGCUAGCUCGCACACAAGACUAGCCAAGUUAGCAUGCUUGCGAUUGGCUGUGGCACACAGUCUGGGAGACAGGGCUGCCUGUCAGGCAUCAUUCAGGGCUUAAUGUCCCACGAGGACUUAGCAGCACCAAAAAUUCUUAGGUAAAGGUAAGGGACAUUUAUCUUGCUAACGUUCUAACUUAUAAACUGAUAAUGAGUUUCAAACACAAAUGAAAGCAUGAUGUGAGCAUGAAAUGUACCAUCCCUUAGUAUAGCAGUCAAUAAAAACAUAUGCACUGAUCCACCGUAGGCUCUGCCUCCUCAGCCAUACUGUCAAUAUAUCAUCAAUAAUUCCACUCCUAUUUAUGGAGCUUAUCUCAUGAUCUCGACAAAACAACUUUUGUUAUGUUGAGAUCACAACGAGGGAAUACUUUUUAAAAUUAAUAUUUGGGUGAAGUUUGUUUUAGUUGAUAACCAUGGAGGGGGGAUUCCGACCCGAGUUAAGCAUGCCUAAAUGGAACGUAAUUCCAUUUUCAUGUACUUUUCUCUCUACACGUUUUUUGACCUUGAGCUUAAUCAUGAGAAUAGCAUGCUAUUCGUUUGGGUUGGAGAUCAAAUAAAUUGACGUGUGGCUACAGAUACGCUGUAUUCUGAACUCAACUUAAUGCCACCAUCUUUACGUGUGUUGAAAUGAAAGGUUGAGCAACCUUUCGGUUCCAAGAGGAACAUCUCGUUUAUUUUUUCCUGAUUAGAAUUAACACCAUUCUCCAACUCUACACAGUAAUUUACAAAUUGAAAAGAGCUAUUGAUAAGAGCUAGGUAAAUGAGUCAGCCAUUUUGGAUAAGAGGAUUGGAAAUAGAAAUGACAAUUGUUUUUGAUCUUUUACCCUACGAUCGCUGGCGACAAAUGUGAAUCCAGUCAUAUGGCAGCAAACUAAAACAUCCACAUUUCCACAAUGAAUAUUAUGAAAAGCUUGACUUAUAACUUUCAGGGAUGAAAUUUGGAGACCCAAGCUGUAGCCAAACCUACCGAGUUGAUUUCUAGAAUGUUUUAAUUACAGUAUAUGCCCAGACUUGUCACUGUAUUUUUAAAAAUUUGUAUCGUGUUAAAUAUUAGCAACCGUCAGUUAUACCCACAUACAUUUAUAACUGUCACUUUAGUGUUAGUUUCCUUACAUUUUGCAUCAUUCCAUUACAUCAUUAGUUUACCUUUCUUUCCUCUCUUGCUCAUGUUGUUCCUGAGGUUCACUAGCAACAGUGGAUCAUAUUAGGCUAAUGUAUUACAAGUUAGGCUACAUGUCUCAAAUUACUGCACAUUUGAAUCAUUAUGGAAUGCAGACCAUACGUAGCAGUUUAAACCUGGAGCCUGGUGCACGGUUCACGACACCUGGACCUUUGUCAUCAGUUCCAUGAUUAGUGACGGUUAUUAGGGUAGUUUUAUACGACUACUGUUCAACCCCUAUAGUUCACUUUUCUCACCUUCCAAUAUUAUCUGGAUUGAACAAUUGAAUAUGACAACUUUCAGGAUGAAUCAAACCACUGUAUUUUUGAUUCACCAAUAUAUUUUGUGCAUAAAGGCUCUCCAACAGUUUUUAUUAUUAUUCACAAAUACAUUCUUAACCCUGAAUAAUAUACAUCAGAGUAUUUUUUUAAUCUACAAAAUUGGUGGUGAAAAGGCAAUGAAUAUUAGUGUAUUUACAUUGCUUUUGGAAAUUUCUCUAAUUCCAGUAGUGAUUCCGAUUAUUUAUAUAUAUAUAUAUAUAUAUAUAUAUAUAUGCGUACUAUCGUGCUCCGAGUGCAUUCUACAACCACAUUCUCUUGCGUACGUUAUUGUGAGAACGAGAGUGUGGAGGAUGCCUAAAACAAUACAUUUGAGAAGCACUCGCACUCCCCAUACUGUAUUACCUCACGCUUCACCUCCCAUUCACUGAACCUUCUUCCAGCCAGGACAAUGGCAACAAUAGAUGCAACAAGAUAUACACAAAGCACAUUUUUUCUUCAUAAUUAUCAGCUAGAUAUGUAAUUUAGCUAGCCAGCUAGUUAAACAGGCACAAAUUACAUAAAGCUAAUGUUAUGCAGGGUAGGCAGGUAAACAUGCCAAAAUUAAUACAGAAUGUAUUUAUUAACGUAUCAACGUAGUCAGGCAACAUAUGAGAUAGGCAACACUUUUUUUAUUCCAAAGUCGAAGUGUAUUUUCUCUCGCUUCAGUUUAAAAAAUGGCCGCCAUUGAUUUCAAGAAAUGUUGCGUCAUUUUUUACGUGGUUGCAUCAUAUUUCUUUGCAUAAUUUCUGUUGAAGCUUGCAUUGACGCAUGCUUCAAAAUACAUACAAACGGAGUACGCAUUCGAGAAGUGCUCUCCGUGCUCCGUUUCGCCUACUUUGAUUUGGACUUAUACUCCGACUCUCCCGUGCUCCAAUUUGCGUGCUCGGAGCACGGUAGUAUGCAUUUUGAGAAACACCCCAAAACAGACUAGAGAAUGAUGCACUCCCAGAUACACAUGCUCUAUUUUCAUUUAAUCUAUGAUGUACUAAAUGCCUGGCUAAAAAUCGAUGUAAAAAAAAUCCUCAGGGGCUGAUUCUCUUGAUCCCUUCUUACUGCAGCUUUCUGCCCCCACUUAUUGCAGAAUCAUUAACCUAUAUUUUAAUUUGGCAAUUGUUUCUGGUGUUAUCCCUAAGAUCUGGAAAGCGGCACGUCCUCCCUCUACACAAAGGAGAAGAUCCUUUUGACUGAGAAAACUACCCUCCAAUUUCCAAGUUCUCACCUUUCCAAAGUUUUAGAAUCCCUGGCCAACUCUCAGCUAAGAACUUGUUUUACUUCUCAUUCUAUUUAAAUGUGCAACAAUCUGGUUUUAGACCCUUUCAGCUGCUACGCUUGUUUUAUAGCAUGUGUUAAAUUGUUUCUAGAUGUUGUGUUAAAUUGCUAGAUCAUAAAAACCAUUAUGCUGCCUUAUUUAUAGACCUUUCCAAGGCCUUCGACAUUACAUUCUCAUUCAAAGGGUGAUUGAAAUAUUUCUGGAUCAGGCUUCUUGCAAGUGGUUUGAGAAUUACCUGUCAGAUAGGACCCAAUGCCUGAUUUCUGUCAAGUCUAGUUUUACAAAAGGUGUACCGCAGAGGUCGGUAUUGGGACCUUUUCUUUUGACUAUUUAUAUAAAUAAUAUUGGUCUAUCAGUUAACUUUAUGCAGACGACACUGUUAUGUAUGCCAUUUCCCCAACUGUUGACAAGGCUAUGUUAGAGCUGCAAUCUGUUGGUCUUCCAGAAAGCCCUGGUUGGUUUAAAAGGUGUACUUAAUGCAGGCAAAACUAAAUAUACUGUAUGUUGUUCUCUAAUUCUUGCAAAAUGUUUCUAAUGAACUACAUAUUUAUUCAUUGGAUGGUACUUCCAUAGAUCGGGUUCCCGCCUAUAAAUAUCUGGGCAUUUGUAUUGACAAAAACUUAAUGUUUAAAAAACAUACGGAUGAGCAAGUUAAAAGCUCUCCCUUAAAUAGCAGGUAGCAGAUUGUAUAGUCAUCUUUCCUGACAGUUCUUCACAAUGGUGACACCAUUUACCAGAUUGCAGCAGUUACUACUCUUAAGCUUUGGAUGUCGUCUACCAUAGCGCCCUUCACUUUAUCACAGAUUACAUUUUUAAUACUCACCACUGCAUCCUGUAUCAAAAUGUUCUCUGGUCCUCAUUAAAGUCCCGUAUAUCACUUCAUUAUUCCCUUUUCGUUUUCAAAGCUCUACUACACAAGCUUCUGACCUACCUAAAUUCGGUGUUAAAAUCGAAAUACCAAACCAGUUCACAAGGUUGGCAAACUCUUGAGGUUCCUCGGUUCUACACCGAACUAUGUAAAUCCAAUUUUUAUUUUUAAAGCACCUCUGCUGAAACCAACUACAAAAUCCAUUAGAAUUGGAUGUUCUUGUGCCGCUGAGGCAAUUAAAAAUAUUGAUUUGGGGACCAUACUGAGCAAUGUAAUUGUUUUUCUUGAAUAUUUGUGUUGUGCUGUAUUUUACUUGUUUUUUAUAUUAUAGUUGAUUUUUGAGUUUAUUAAAUUGUAUAUGCCGGGUUCCCUUGUGAAAGAGACCCUUGUCUCAAUGGUGACUCCCUGCUUUAAUAAAGGUUAAAAA
ensembl:lncRNA